ACAUCAACCUCAUUGUUUCUGUUCUUCAUAGGCUGGGGCUGACUCUAGGAGAUAAUAUCACAGAACUAGGCUCCCUAGCAUCAGUGGGGAUAAUAGGAUCCCAAAAAGUCAGAGACCAGGUGGCAGCAAGUUAGAAACAAAGGAAAAAUUGCCAAAAUAGCCAGUAAUGACAGAAUGGAAGCCAGGAAAUUCUGACUGCAAGGGCUUUAUGGAAAUACCUCAUAGACCAAAGUAUUUCUAGAGGGGCAGCCAACAAGAGUAUUGCUUAAUAUUACACUUAACAGAUCAAGAAUGAAUAUGUUGGAGGCUGAGAUAAGUUGCCCAACAGAAAAUUACAAUCCCUUGCCCAGUUUCCAGACCUGAGCCAAUCCUCGCAUCCAGAACCCGCUGGUUGAGUGAGAGCCUCUGUCCCCUGAGGAAGAACCCUACAGCACCAUGGGAACUGUGUACACUAGUGAUUCCCCAAGUCCUUCCAUAAAGGGCUAUGUGACUUCUCCUGCUCUCUAUCGUAAUGUAGAAAGAAGGAAUUUGUAUGGAACCACAAAAGACCACAAGUAACCAAAGCAAUCCUGAGAAAAAAAAGAAUGAAACUGAAGGCAUUACACUUCCUGAUUUCAAACUAUAUUACAAAUCUAUAGUAAACAAAAUAGUAUGGUACUGGCAUAAAAAUAGGCAUAUAGACCAAUGGAACAGAAUCUAGAUCCUGUAAAGAACCCAAGUGUGGUAUAAUGAGAAAUAGAUUUAGACUUUUUUCCUGGUUCCUGGCACAAAGCUCCUAAAACCCAUGGAAUUUCCUAAGUGAUAGGAAUGUCUUUUUUUU